UACGGAGGGAGCUAGCGUUGUUCGGAUAUACUGGGCGUAAAGCGCACGUAGGCGGCGCGGCAAGUCAGGGGUGAAAGAGGCCGGCUUAACCGGCAAGGGUCAUUUGAAACUGAUAGACUAGAGUGCAGCAGAGGAUAGUGGAAUUCCCGGUGUAGUGGUGAAAUGCGUAGAUAUCGGGAGGAACACCAGUGGCGAAGGCAGCUCGCUGGGACGUUACUGACGCUGAGACGCGAAAGCGUGGGGAGCAAACAGG
rnacentral:rRNA from 1 species